ensembl:lncRNA
AAAAAUAUUUGAAAAAAUAAAUAAGUUGUAAGUCAUACCUUUUUAUUUUCCUUUAGUUUACUUCUUUAAAAUUCAUAUCUAUAUGACAAUUAUUUCUUAACAUAUCUCUGUCAAAACUCUAAUGUAGGGCCAGGGAUUUAGCUCAGUGGUACUGCCACCUGCCUCACAAGUACAAGGUCCCGAGUUUGAUCCCCGGUACCAAAAAACAAAACAAAACUCCAAUGUAAAAGUUUAAAAAUUAGCAAAAUCUCAGUGAGUUCAACAAUUUGCAAAGUUAUUUUAAAGUUAUUUAAAUUUUUGUGCUAAAUUAGUUCAUAGCUUUUGCUUUUGAAAACACAGAUAGGAAUGGACUUCGUAGAAUGACAGAAAAAGGUGGUUUUGUCUAAGUAGUGAUUUUUUUCAAUAUAGACACAUGAUAUGUUUCUACGUGACAUAUGGAUAUUUCCUGUAGCUAUUAGUUGUGUUUAAUAUGAAAUUUAUAUUUUUCUUCUAAAAAUUUACUUAAUAAAACAGACAACUUGAUUGACUUUGUUUUUACCCUGUGGAUUGGCUAGUUUGUGGCACAAAUGAUACCGAUCAGAAUGAUGCUCUCAUUCAAGCAGUACCUCAAGAGCGUGGACUUUCAUAAUUGUGGAGAUGGAGACUCUACAGUUACAACUGACAGAGCCUGAGUACUGAUAGUGAAAGAAUUGCCAAGGCCAGCAGUUCAAGAUCCUGCACUUUCAGGAAUUGAAUCUAUCACCUUCACACUGAACUUCAUUCACAGCCAUGUUUCUAUUUUGUUUUAUCUUAUUUUUUAUUUUAUUUUGAGACAGUGUCUCCCUAAAUUGCUGAAUUUCCCAGGCUGACAUCAAACUUUCCAUCCCACUGCCUCAGCCUCCCAGAGUACAGGGACUAUAGACAUGUGCCACUGUGCCCAACUGCAAAUAGUUUUUUUAAUAAAUAUCUGUGAAUUGAUAUUGAAAUUGUUCAUUGCAUUUCCUGAACAUAUGGAAGAGGUGUCAGAAUAGAUUACCAAAAUGUCCACAAAGUGGCUGAGGUGUUACACAGCUGUUCUGAUUUUCUUUGAAUGUCAGCAACACUUGGGAGGCACUUGGAUUAGCAACAAAUGGUGUGGACCUGGACCUUGGGGCUCUGAGACUCUUGCGGGAUUUCGAUGACAGCUGAAGACAACAUGUGACUCUCUCAGUCAACUGCUUCAUGGCUGAGACCCAAUUCCUGACAUUUGGCUCAUGGGUUUUUAAAUCAUAUUAUUUCUCCACUUUACUUAAUUGCUGUGAUUAAUUUGGUUAAUGGUUUCUAAAGGUUUAGUACAGAAAGGGCAUGGUGGAAGGGCCUGUGCCAGAGGGAAGCUGCUCAGCCCAAGCAGCCAGGAGAUAGAGUGACUCGUGCCUCCCUCAGUUACCCAAAUCUUCAGACCAGGACCUCACAAAGGUGCACUCAGCUGCUGAACUCCCCAGUGGGUGAAUCCACCUGGGAGAAGCCAGGUCGGUGAGCGCUUGAGGCUCUAGGGAGCCACCUGGAUCUAAGCCAUGGUGACCACCAUGGGUAGAUUGCCUUUCAUCAACCCAAUGUAGAAAGACAGAUUCUGGGUAAACCAAGGACACGGUGACAGUCCCACAGCUCCAUCAUUACAUGAAGGGUGGACCUGGUUUUUGUGCUUCUGUCUCACCUUUGCCUUCCUGCUUUGGGGGACAGAAAUCAAUCACCAACCAUUAUAUUUGAGUUCAAGUUAUCUGCAGCGUCCGCAUAGGAUGUCUCUCAGAAGCCCAAACACAACGAAGUGACACCAAAAAAUGAUUCUGAUGGCUGUUUUCUAACUUUAUGUCAAGUGAAAUUAAAAUGUAAAGCUAUAUAUGUGUGUAUAAAUUUAUAUAUUUCACAUGUCCACCCUUUACUGUAGGUAAAAAUACUGACAGUUUAUAUAAAUUCUAUAAAACAUUGUAAAAUGUACUUAUAUAAUGUUUUAUAAUUGAACUUGUGUCUUUAUAGCAAAAAAGAUUUAGCAACUAAAAUUGUAUAUAAUGCUGAAAACAAUAUGCAAACAAUACGAUAUUGUUUACAGCAUGGGAAAAUGAAUAUUCCAGGACUAUAUCAAUUAAUCAAUGCUAUCUUAUUUUUACUGUAUGCCGCACUAUUGCUUUAUCUUUUCUACUUAUUUUUGUCGCAUAUAGAAUGAAGUGCAAUGUAAAAUAAAUGUGGAUAAAUAAUUACAUGUACUGACAAUAAGGAUAAUUUAAUCUCAUGUCCAUCUGAAUUGGAACCUGGAAGUAUAAAUCUUACCUUUUCCUUUACACAGAUCAUCAAAGUGUUUUAUGUCAUUUAAAUACAUUUUUGUUAAUACUUAGUGUUAGUUUAAAAAUAUUUCAUGUAUCUUUAUAGUCUCUAAUUAAUUGGCUUAUUGAUUAAUAAGUUAUAAAUAUAAAAGGCAACCAUUUAAAAAGCACCAAAGAUAAGGUAUUAUUUUAAGGAAUUACUGGGACAAAGUCUACAUGAAAAGAACAAAAAACAAUAAACUAGAAAUAAACUAGCAAUAUAAGGAUGUUUGAUGUCUGUGCUCCUCUGGGCUUGUAUUUCAUGGAUGCUAGUGGAGGAGAGAGAAGAAAGUGGAAGCAAGACUAAGCCCAAACUGGAAAAGACAAGGGAACCCCACAAUUCACAAUGUUGAAUACACUGAAAUUUACUCUCCAGGAAACGUUGAAAUGUGACUAGACUCCUUUUCACCCAGAAGACCACAAUAUCUACCCUAGCACUGAGUUGAGGAAGAGAAAGAUAAUCAACUCAUUUCUGACAAUUUUUGAUCAGAAGGCAGCCCUAACACAGAGUUUGCAGCUAAAGGUGAAACUCCUGCAUCCUGUAUCUUCCCCCCAAAAUAUUUCACACUGUGGAUUUCGCUUAAAUUUGGCUGGGACUGAUAGAUUCUUUAAUGCUGUGGAAGAACCAAACAAAAUUUAUUCUGAGGGACAAAUGCAAUAAAUAUCAUGAUAGAAUUAAAAAAAUUUUUUCUAAUAAUUUUCCAAGGAAAAUGAGCAACUCACAAUACAAAAUUAAAAAGCAACACAAGAAAAUGUGCUAAUGAAGUCAGAAAAAAAAUUUUAAAAAGAAAAUAAGACAUAUGAUCAAGAGCCAUCAGAAAUAUUGACAGCUUUAAAAAUAUAUUACAUAAUAUAAUUUCAGAUCCAGAAAAUAAAAGGAAUUUCAAUAUUUGAAAAAUUAGGAAUAAAUAUAAAUUAGGAAUAAAUAUAAAUAUAAAAUUUCUGUCUAGGUGACAUUAUAUAUAGCCUCUCUUUAUAUAUGUGUAUACAUAUAUAUAUUAUUUAUAUGCAUAAACAGGAAGACAUAAUAAUAGGCAGUAAAGUUCAGAAUUUAAUGAAUUGAAAAUUGGUAAGCUGAGAGUAUAUAUUAAGAAACUUAAAAUGCAGCACAAUGAAAUAAAGAGACUUUAUGGAAGAGGUGUAAUAAGAUACCAUACUGGAAAGUUCUAUUCCCUGGCUAAUCAAUUUUCAUGAAAGAAUGCUAAAGAGAUAAGACAAUUAUGUGCGAACAAUCAUGAGUUAGGGGGUGAUGAAUCAUGAAAAUGAUUUUUUUUUGUUUUAAACAUAAAAUAUCCUGCAAGACGAACGAGGGGAAAGAGGUAGAGGUUUUGUUAGAAUAAAUAUAAUUGCUAUG